rnacentral:rRNA from 1 species
CUACGGGUGGCUCCAGUGGGGAAUAUUGGACAAUGGGGGAAACCCUGAUCCAGCAAUGCCGCGUGUGUGAAGAAGGCCUGCGGGUUGUAAAGCACUUUCGGUUGGGAGGACUGCUUCUAGCACUAAUAUUGUUGGAAGUUGACGUUACCUUCAGAAGAAGCACCGGCUAACUCCGUGCCAGCAGGCCGCGGUAAUACGGAGGGUGCAGGCGUUAAUCGGAAUUACUGGGCGUAAAGCGCGCGUAGGCGGCUAGAUCAGUCGGGUGUGAAAGCCCCGGGCUUAACCUGGGAACUGCAUCCGAUACUGUCUAGCUUGAGUACAGGAGAGGAGAGUGGAAUUCCACAUGUAGCGGUGACAUGCGUAGAUAUGUGGAGGAACACCAAUGGCGAAGGCAGCUCUCUGGCCUGAUACUGACGCUGAGGUGCGAAAGCGUGGGGAGCAAACAGGAUUAGAUACCCUUGUAGUC